rnacentral:lncRNA from 1 species
UUCCAAAUAUUUUUCUAAAACUAAGUUUAAGGACUAUCUUCGGAUAGGAACUGAGGGGUGCCUAAUACCUUCCCCUUGAGUAACCAAAACCCUUACUUAGAAUCUCACCGAUUUUCACAGAUUAAAAAUAGAGUUUUCACAUUAUAAAAAAAGUUUUUCCUAAUUUUUUCUUAAAAGUUAGGUGGCAACUCAAAACAAAACAAGCUAAUAAUUUUUUAUAAAACCAGAAAGAGUCAUUACGGCCGCCAUACAUUGCGGACUAUUUCGGCCAGUCCGAAAAUUGGCGUGACAUUAAGUUCAUUCAAGAAUAUCAUGCUCGGGCGGUGGAAAUAUGAUGUUUUCUUCAGAAAUAGAAUUUUCAAGGCGCCCCCACUCUUCAACAAUUCCAUACCAACGUCUUCAUUUAAAUGAGGAAAGCCAUUUAGGGUUGGCUUCCUGAUCUACCUCAUUUUUCUGUUUUUUGCCUUAUAUGUAGUCAAUCUAAUUACCUUCUCCUUUUCAAUUCUCUCCCAGAUUUUGUGUGCACAAAUUAGUAACCAUAACAUCCACCAAAUUAUCAUCUAACACAUUCAAAUCCAUGGUUUCUUUCCCUUCUUUUAACAUAUUAGCUUUAGCCAAUCUUUUUUGGCCUUAUAUGUAGUCAAUCUAAUUACCUUCUCCUUUUCAAUUCUCUCCCAGAUUUUGUGUGCACAAAUUAGUAACCAUAACAUCCACCAAAUUAUCAUCUAACACAUUCAAAUCCAUGGUUUCUUUCCCUUCUUUUAACAUAUUAGCUUUAGCCAAUCUUUUUUGUUUUUUCCUACUCCCUUCUAUCUUUCCAUAUGAUUUACUUUGCUUAGAAAAAUCUGAUUUAAAACC